GCGGCAGUAGCUCAAUGGUAGAGCCCCCGCUUCGCAUGGGGGAAACCUGGGUUCGAUUCCGGGCUGCUUCC
rnacentral:tRNA from 1 species